GAGGGAGAAAUAAUUCAAAAUAGAACAUGAAAAUUGACAUGAAUCAACUUCAAUUCAAUAAGAACAUCAUCCAAAAAGUUCCACAUCCAUAUCAUGCACCAAAAUCAUUUCACAAGUCAAAUAAGGCAAAGCAUACAAGUUGGAAGCUCAUUGAAACAACAGAAUGAACAAAUCCACAUUAAUUCAAAAAUGAUUCAAUAAAUCCCAAGAAAAAUCACGGCUAACCAGAACACAUCAUUUGAUCAACA
rnacentral:lncRNA from 1 species